AGUGAACGCUGGCGGCAGGCCUAACACAUGCAAGUCGAACGGCAGCACAGUACUAGCUCGCGGUUUCGGGGGGGGAGGGGCGAGCGGUUCAUGAGUACCUCGGAGUCUAUUUUUUCGAGGGUGAUAACGUGGGGACUCAUACCCCAAUCCUGCAGACGGCGUACGGGUGGGAGCAUCGGAUCUUCGGAUAUUAGGCGAGCCUAUGAGCCGAUGUCGGAUUAGCUAGUUGGAGGGGUAAAGGCCCACCAAGGCGACGAUCCGUAACUGGUCUGAGAGGAUGAUCAGCCACACUGGAACUGAGACACGGUCCAGACUCCUACGGGAGGCAGCAGUGGGGAAUAUUGGACAAUGGGCGCAAGCCUGAUCCAGCCAUACCGCGUGUGUGAAGAAGGCCUUCGGAUUGUAAAGCCCUUUUAUUGGGGAGGAAAAGCAGUAAGUUAAUACCUCGCUGUUUUGACGGUACCAAAAGAAUAAGCACCGGCUAACUUCGUG
rnacentral:rRNA from 1 species